rnacentral:lncRNA from 1 species
GGUGCUCUUUUGUGAAAAUUUCAAAAUUUUGCUCCCUUUCAAUUUUUACCAGAGCUGCGCAUUGAAAAUUUUUUAACCAUUCCAGGCACAGUACUUGUUAAGCGCAGCACCACAUGAAUUCCAAGCCUUCCAUACUUGCAAGGCUACUUUCCCAAAUAUAUUGUUCUCAAUCAGAGCCUUCGAAAGUUCAAUCGCAACCUCCCCUGCACCUUUCUUCUUCUAUCUCUCUUUCCCUCUCUAUCAAUUUUCAGUUUCCCGUAGACAUAUGGUUCCCCUCUUCCUCUCUAGCAUCCAGAUCUGAAUUUAUACAAUCAUGGACACACUUUAAAGACCCUUCCGAUGCAAUGGCAGACUUCAAGAAAAAGAGAUGGUGUAGGUUUUUUAAGCAGAUAUGUUAUUUUCAUCUCUGUUUUGUCAAUUGCCUUUUUCUUGCAUUUUUGGUCAAUUUAACAAUCGCAAGAUAAACUUUUUAAAAUUGUAGGCUUCUACUUUAGUGGAAUAGAGUGAAUGGGCAUCUCAGUUGGAGUAGAGAAAGGGGUCUUACUGGAAGGCAAAGUGAAAAUGGCCCGUCAAAAUUUCAGAUCUGAGAUUUCAGGUAGUCUCCAACAUAUUUUCAUCCUAGAAUUCUUCCUUCCACGAUUUGAUUUUCCCCUGCUUUGUCGUAUUGUUCAAUCUCCUCUCUUUACCACUCUCACUUCCAUUCCCCCGUACCUCUCAUUGCCCAGCCCUAAUUGUCCCCUUUUGUUGUCCCAAACCCCCUAUAUCUUACACAAUUUUUGAAUGCUAAACACUGAUUAUGACAUGUUCUAAGAUUUAAGCCUUAUUUUUUCGGUGACUUAACUGAAAUUUUGGAUGAUUUUCUACUCCGGUUGGUGAUUAGGAUUGAUGGUGUAGGUGAUUUUGCUUGUCUUUGGACUGGUUUGUGGUGGUUCAUCAUUAUCUAUUGUUUUGUGUUUCGGUGUUGUAGGACCAUUCGUGAAGCAUAUUUUUUCCCUUCCUUUGGACUAAUUCUAAUGCUUUCAUUGCGUUGCGUGUGAUUCUCUUAGGUGAUACCUUCUUCUCCUCCUGAAUGUUUGUGCAAGUUUUAAUGCAUUUGGUCUUUUGCCUUUUUGAUGAUUUAAUUUUGUUGUUUAUUUCUUAACUAAAGAUCUAGUAAAUAGAAUAUAGUUUUCUUUUAAGUGAACAUACUGGACAAAAAUAAUAAGGAUUAGAAAAAAAGAAUCUCAUUGGCUAUUUGCACCUUGGAAGCCUUGUUGGCAGUAAAAGCUAAUUCCUUUUUUCAAGUUCAUUUCAUGCUUUCCAAGUCCGAAUGUUACACUUUCUUAGCUACUUCUCAAUUUUGAAUGAGCUGCAAUGGGUGAAUGCAUUAACUAUUUUUGUGUUAAAGGAAACAGCCUUGGCGUUACUUUACAAUUGGUUUCAUGUCAAUUGGGGUCAAAAUGAUUUCUUCAUCUUAAGUACAUGCUACCAACUUGUAGUUUGAAAUUCAGUUCACAUUUUGUACUUGUGGUUAAUAAAAGUGAUCCUUAGCAUUUCUUUUAAAGUCCCUCAUUUUCAUUUCUUUUCAUGCAACAAUAUGAGGAUCAAUGUCUUAGUUGAUAUAUGUAGGCUAAUGCAGGUUUAAUUUAUCUAACUACCAAUGUAAAUUUCAGUUUAAUAAUUUUUUUUUUCAUUGGACUCUGUAGGUUGACGGUGGAUUGUAGUAAACCUGGCUAUGAAACUCUUACAAGCUACUUCGAUUAUGAACUUCACCAAUUAAUGCAAACAUGAUACUCAUUGUAUAUCGGCACAGGGUCUAUCUUAGCAUUUGUUAUCCCUGACAAUUUUGAUUGUACAUAUUAAAGCCUAAUUAGGAUUUGAUUUGAGUAUCUUUGUGCUUUGUACUGUUGAUAGUAUUGGUUGUAAUAUAUUGUUGCUCGUUUUGUAUUUGUAAUGACAAAUUGGUUUGUUAUUUCGUAUAAAAUUUUUGCUAUAUCUCAAUAUUGACAUUAA